rnacentral:snRNA from 1 species
AUGCUCACUUCAGCAGCACAUAUACUAAAAAUGGAAUGAUACGGAGACGAUUAGCAUGGCCCCUGUGCAAGGACAACAUACGAAAUUUGUGAAGUGUUUCAUUAAAAA